UCGCCUGUUUUUCAAAAACAUUGCUUCGUGAAAAUCUAAUAUAAAGUACCUCUGCCCAGUGUAAAAAUAAACGGCCGCAUUAUCCUGAGUGCGCUAAGGUAGCACAAUAAUGAGCCUCUUAAUUAGAGGAUAGAAUGAAUGAACCCACAUAGAAGGACCUAUCUACUAAGGUAAAAUAAAAAUUAACAUCGAGGUGAAAAGGCCUCAAUACAAAAACAAGACAACCAGUCCCUAAAAGCUUGCCCGACAAUUUCCAUUAACUAUUCUGCUGGGGAAGCAACCUUUGAAGCAAAGGGAUAAAAAAGACAAUAACUCACCCUAUAAACCUUUCAAAAAUUCCAAAAAGCUACUUUAGGGAUAACAGGCUAAUAGAUUUUCAGAGCCCCUAUCGAAAAAUCUGUUUGGCACCUCGAUGUUGGCUUAGGGACCCUAACAAUAGAAGAAGAUUGUCAAGGAAGUUUGUUCAACUUUUAACCCCCUACAUGAUCUGAGUUCAAACCGGAGA
rnacentral:rRNA from 1 species